rnacentral:tRNA from 1 species
GGGGGGGGGGUUCAAUGGUAGAAUUCUUGCCUUCCAUGCAGAAGAUCUGGGUUCAAUUCCCAGCCAACACA